rnacentral:misc_RNA from 1 species
GGACCCGUGUCUGCCGGUAGAUCCCCCGUCUUCGUGCGGCCGACUACAGGCGCCGUGUCCCGUCAUUGGUUUGGCUUAUAUGCUGAUGUUGCCUUUCAAGUGCUUGCGUGCUGGUACCCGACCUACGGGAAGUGGUGCUUCUAACACGUUCGCCUCGCGGUGGACACCUUCGGGUGUGCCGCUGCGGCCUAACGGCGCUUGCGGCGUUUCCUCGUGGUUCUGGCACUCCUAGUGCCCGGUGCUACCAAGGCAGCCUCGCUCACGCUGUUGGUCUCGGAUGUUGCUCACGAUAAAGAGUCUUGGCCCUUUUGGUUGCCACGACCCGACCCUUAAGCUGCUCUCCGAAUUUGAGAACAACCGUGAACAGGUGUUGCCUCUACCUCUCCACAGUUAGUGGUAGGAUACGUAACAUUCUGCGCCGAUCCUCAAUCAAGUAGGAUGAGCUUAGCCCGCUCAAUCGUGACAACCGGCUCGGCCGUUGCCUUGGCCUUGACACGCAAGUGGAAGGGCGGACAAAGACCGACGCUGGACGUCAACGAGGACGUGCUACCUGGUUGAUCCUGCCA